AUUGAACGCUGGCGGAAUGCUUUACACAUGCAAGUCGAGCGGCAGCGCGGCCUUCGGGCUGGCGGCGAGCGGCGAACGGGUGAGUAAUGCAUCGGAACAUGCCCAGUCGUGGGGGAUAACACUUCGAAAGAAGUGCUAAUACCGCAUACGUCCUGAGGGGGAAAGCGGGGGAUCGCAAGACCUCGCGCGAUUGGAGUGGCCGAUGUCAGAUUAGCUAGUUGGUGGGGUAAAGGCCUACCAAGGCGACGAUCUGUAGCUGGUCUGAGAGGAUGAUCAGCCACACUGGGACUGAGACACGGCCCAGACUCCUACGGGAGGCAGCAGUGGGGAAUUUUGGACAAUGGGGGCAACCCUGAUCCAGCCAUGCCGCGUGAGUGAAGAAGGCCUUCGGGUUGUAAAGCUCUUUCGGCAGGAACGAAACGGUGGGCUCUAACAUAGUCCGCUAAUGACGUUACCUGCAGAAUAAGCACCGGCUAACUACGUG
rnacentral:rRNA from 1 species